rnacentral:rRNA from 1 species
GACGAACGCUGGCGGCGUGCCUAAUACAUGCAAGUAGAACGCACAGUUUAUACCGUAGCUUGCUACACCAUAGACUGUGAGUUGCGAACGGGUGAGUAACGCGUAGGUAACCUGCCUGGUAGCGGGGGAUAACUAUUGGAAACGAAAGCUAAUACCGCAUAAUAUUAAUUAUUGCAUGAUAAUUAAUUGAAAGGUGCAAUUGCACCACUACCAGAUGGACCUGCGUUGUAUUAGCUAGUAGGUGAGGUAACGGCUCACCUAGGCGACGAUACAUAGCCGACCUGAGAGGGUGAUCGGCCACACUGGGACGGAGACACGGCCCAGACUCCUACGGGAGGCAGCAGUAGGGAAUCUUCGGCAAUGGACGAAAGUCUGACCGAGCAACGCCGCGUGAGUGAAGAAGGUUUUCGGAUCGUAAAGCUCGGUUGUAAGAGAAGAACGGGUGUGAGAGUGGAAAGUUCACACUGUGACGGUAUCUUACCAGAAAGGGACGGCUAACUACGUG